rnacentral:rRNA from 1 species
CAGCCGCCGCGGUAAUACGUAGGGUGCGAGCGUUAAUCGGAAUUACUGGGCGUAAAGCGUGCGCAGGCGGUUGUGUAAGACAGGUGUGAAAUCCCCGGGCUUAACCUGGGAACUGCGCUUGUGACUGCACAGCUAGAGUAUGGCAGAGGGGGGUGGAAUUCCACGUGUAGCAGUGAAAUGCGUAGAGAUGUGGAGGAACACCGAUGGCGAAGGCAGCCCCCUGGGCCAAUACUGACGCUCAUGCACGAAAGCGUGGGGAGCAAACAGGAUUAGAUACCCGCGUAGUCCCUGUCUCUUAUAA